rnacentral:tRNA from 1 species
UGGCGAGUGGUGAAGCGGUAUCACAGGGGUCUUUGGAACCUCUAUCCCAGGUUCGAAUCCUGGCUCGCCAG